rnacentral:rRNA from 1 species
GACGAACGCUGGCGGCGUGCUUAACACAUGCAAGUCGAACGGAGUUCCUUGGAUAGAGGCUUCGGCCAAUUGAAUUGGAACCUAGUGGCGGACUGGUGAGUAACGCGUGAGGAACCUGCCUUUCAGAGGGGGACAACAGUUGGAAACGACUGCUAAUACCGCAUAACACAUAAACAGGGCAUCCUGAAUAUGUCAAAGAUUUUAUCGCCGAAAGAUGGCCUCGCGUCUGAUUAGUUAGUUGGUGAGGUAACGGCCCACCAAGGCGACGACCAGUAGCCGGACUGAGAGGUUGACCGGCCACAUUGGGACUGAGAUACGGCCCAG